CCGGUUUCGGGCAGGUCAUGCGGUCAUGUGAUAGUUCGCGCUGAUGGACAUAGGAAGUGUUACAAACAGCUGAUGGAUCGGCGAAGCGUGUUUCUGGAAUAUCAUGUUUUUGUUGCUGCAAGUGAUUUUUAUGCAGUUUUUGCAAAGCUAUAUGUGGAAGGAAACUGUGACCUAGGACAAGCUGAUGGCAUAAGAUAGGCGGCGGCAAGAGGGGAGACCUCGGCUCAUCCAGCUGGACAGCCUGAUCAGGAGGAGUCGAACAUUAACUCAGGUCUUCCAGGGCACCCUGCAGACUCAGCUGCUGGCAACAGCGAGGGAGUGCGGCCGCCGCUGGGAUGACGUGAACGCCAAACAGGAGUCCAUCACAGGUCAAUUGCAGCUCCUUGUCUCAGAGUGGGAGGGAUUUGAAGCACAAAGGGAGGAGCUUGUCAUUUGGUUGGCUGAUAUGGAUGUCCACCUGAGUGAGGUUUACCAGCUAACAGGAAACACCAGUGAAAAACUGAAACAACUGCAGGUGUGGCCUUGUUUUGAUAUAACAUAUAUUUGAUAUGAUACAUACGUCAGAGACAUUGUCCUAAACUGGACUAACAAAGGACCAUGAGUCCAACAUGAAACUUACCUUACAUAAGGUAAGGCUGAAGUUCAUUGAUAAUUUUAAUCAAAAACUUGUUGUUGAAAUAUUUUUACUGAAUAUGCAAACAUCUGCUGAUGAAAAUGUGUUGAUUUAUUGGUCUGUUAUGAAGCUAUUGCUAUUUCUAAUGUGUUUUUAUCACUUUCUGAUGUUUUAUUAAUUAAACAAUACAUGUAGUAAUUGUUGUGUUAUCUAUAGAUAUAGUAUUUAUAUAUAUAUUUAUUUAUUCAUAGUAUAGUAAAAAUGUUUAAUCAUUACUGUUUAAAUGACUAAUAUGUGACAUGUAUUAGUAGUGAUGUGGUGCUGAGGGUUAAAAUGCCUUUUUGUCUUUUGGUAUAUUACGAAACGGC
ensembl:lncRNA